rnacentral:lncRNA from 1 species
AUAUUUACGCUAUCACACAUCUCAAGUGUCAUAAUGAAUAAAAAAAGAUAUGAAUAAUAGAUACCGAAUCAUUAAUUUAUAAAAGACCUUGAUUUUUAAAGCAAACAACAUAUUAGAGUGUUAUAUUUAAGUAUCUAUUCUACCCUUAUCAGGCAUAGCAAGCGAGCGUGAAACAUGAUGAACAUAUAUCGAUAAAUCACUACCUAAUUGAAAUAUACUAAGAUCAGAACAAACAAACAUGUAAGAGUUACCUGAAUGGUUUGAAAUCUCUAAAGGAGUUGAAGUUAGAUAUCUGCAAAAGGUUAAGGAAUCUACCCUCUAUGGAUGCAAUGCGGCGCCUCACAAUAUUAAAAGAAC